CUUCUUCAUUUUUACAGAUGAAGACAUUGAGUCAAUCUGAGUUGAGUGACUUAGCCAGAGUCACACAACCAAAAUGUUUUCCUGAUGAUGUAUGGUAGUGUGUAUUCGAACACCACAGAAGUAAAGCUGCAGAUGACCCAGAGGGCAAUGGAAAGAUGCAUGGUCAUCAAGGAUACUUCUAAAAUUAUGAGUCUGGAUAAUUGGGAGAAUAGUAGUGCCCUCAACAGAAAUAGAGAAGAUUGGAAGAAGGACCAGUUUAAGAAAAGAAAUGAUGAUCUAUUAGUAAGUAUAUACCUUCCUUCAUUUAAUCAUUCUAUAGUAAUGCUUAUUCUAUUUCACUGGCAUAUUUUAAACAUUUCUCCUAAUUAUAUUAUUCAUGACCUCAAAUGUCUCAUAGCAGAAAAGGCUAAAUUUAAAGAUAGAUGAUAAUUUUAUCAAUGGGCCAAAACUGGCAGCAAGACAUAGGAUAACACUGUGGAAUGAAUUAAAAAUAUUUUCAUGCAUUAUUGUUGUUGUCCUUCAUUUUUGAAGAGGACCAAAAUGACAUCACUAUAGAGCAAUAGGGAGAUGGGUGGGGCAAUAUAUGAGCAAUGAAAAUUUUCAGUUAUGAAUAGAAGUAAAAGGUGUCAUCAAGAAAAUAAAUGAGAGGGAGAGAAGGUAAGGUGGCCACGUGAUAAGGAAAAGGGGUGUCGGACAAGUGGACAGUCAGUGUGCUUUGUUGCAAAUUCUGGAAAAAGCAAAAAAAGCCUCCAGGGUGUUGAAUAAAUUCUGUGGCAAAUUUAUGGGAAAAUCUAAACAAAAGACAUACAGGAUAAGUAGGCAUGAGGGACAAGGAUGAUUUGCAACUUGAACUAUUUGAAGGAACUCCUAAAUCAG